rnacentral:rRNA from 1 species
CCUACGGGAGGCUGCAGUGGGGAAUUUUGGACAAUGGGGGCAACCCUGAUCCAGCCAUGCCGCGUGCGGGAAGAAGGCCUUCGGGUUGUAAACCGCUUUUGUCAGGGAAGAAAUCUUCCGAGCUAAUACCUUGGGAGGAUGACGGUACCUGAAGAAUAAGCACCGGCUAACUACGUGCCAGCAGCCGCGGUAAUACGUAGGGUGCAAGCGUUAAGCGAAGUGACUGGGCGCGGUUGGUCAACACAGGUUUGAAAUCCCCGGGCUUAACCUGGGAACUGCACUUGUGACUGUACGGCUGGAGUACGGCAGAGGGGGAUGGAAUUCUGCGUGUAGCAGUGAAAUGCGUAGAUAUGCGGAGGAACACCGAUGGCGAAGGCAGUCCCCUGGGCCUGUACUGACGCUCAUGCACGAAAGCGUGGGGAGCAAACAGGAUUAGAUACCCGGGUAGUC